ACACGCAUGACACACUGCAUAUCAAUAAGCGGAGGAAAAGAAACUAACAAGGAUUCCCCUAGUAACGGCGAGUGAAGCGGGAAGAGCUCAAAUUUGAAAUCUUAAAGGGUUUCCCUUUACGAAUUGUAGUUUAAAGAAGUGUUUUCUGUUGGAGUUUCGGUAAAAGUUCUUUGGAAUAGGACAUCAUAGAGGGUGAGAAUCCCGUAUUUGACCGUUACUUUCCAGCUGUGUGAUACACUUUCAAAGAGUCGGAUUGUUUGGGAAUGCAGUCCAAAAUGGGUGGUAAAUUUCAUCUAAAGCUAAAUAUUGGCGAGAGACCGAUAGCGAACAAGUACCGUGAGGGAAAGAUGAAAAGAACUUUGAAAAGAGAGUUAAACAGUACGUGAAAUUGUCAAAAGGGAAGCGUUUGACACCAGUGUUGUUUAGUUGAAAAUCAAUUCAAUAAUUUUUGAUUUUAAGUAGUAUUGACUUCAUCAGCUUGCUGCUUUCUUUUCAGGAAUUAUUGAAUGCACUUUUCAGUUAACAAGUCAACAUCAAUUUCUUUUGUUGUAAAAGGGUAAGAGGAAGGUGGCUUACGCUUCGGCGUAAGUGUUUAUAGCCUUUUACCUCUGCAAUCGGAGAGAUUGAGGACAGCAGCGUAGACUCUUCGGGGUUAGAUACACUUGUGCUAAGCUAUAGCCUUGUAUAGACAACUUGUUGACUAUGCUCAGUCAUGUAGCUUACUCGCUUGUGCUAUUUUACCUACGCUUAGGAUGUUGAACUACUGAGACAUAG
rnacentral:rRNA from 1 species